ACGAUGACAGGCCAUCGAAUGUUGGAAUAAUUGAGUCUAAAUUAUUUGUGAUGCGACUGGAUAUUAAGAGGAGCAGUGUCCACGCCUCCGUUGCCAUUGGUGUGUUCAAAUGCGAUAUUAUGGUAUUCACCAACCUGGGACUCAAAAGGGUGAGUCUUUGCUGCAAAUAAUCGCGCGGCUGCGAUGUUAACAACGUGGUCAAUAUGUGCCAGGGCAGCAGAUGCUUGGGUUCAUUGGAAAACUCCAGAGGUUGAAUGUUCAUUAAGACAUUGCGAUUGAAGCUCUGCAAAUGAGAUGUUAUUAAAGAUAUGUUGAGGAGUGUUAUAUGAAGGACUACUCCGGGCUAAUAUCCGAUUCAAAAGCAUAAACCAAUUUAUCGACUAGAUUAAAAAUAUACUCAAUCUGCGUUUCGUUUAAAAGAAACACUACAAAUUUAAAAUCUCCAGCCCAGAUGAACAUGGCUAGAUCGCUUCCGAUGUAAAUCCUGAUCAAGAACAUAGCUAAAAACAAAUAAUUCAAGUCCACGCUCUCAUUACUCACAUGCAACGCCAAUUUCUGGAGUACAGUAUCCUCAUCGUUGAGCAUGCAUGACCAUAUGCGGCAAUAGACAUCUAUGAGUAUGGUGCAAUUGUUGUAGCUUUGCAGGAGCGAGUCGAUGGUUUCCAGCGCCGUUUUGCGCACCGAUGAAAGGGCAUCAGUGGCCAGCACCGACAUUUCGCGCUCGAAUUGUGUGUUGUAGAUAAUGCGCUGAUUGAUUUGCACCAGACGCUCCAGCAGGGCUAGGCCCGAGCAGCGCGCCAAUCCAUUGUUGGCGGCCAUAAAACGUUCAUAGAUAAUUUUUGGCAUUUUCUUAACCUCCGGUUCCAGUUCCUCAAAGCCCUCGAAGCUGUAGGCGUACUGUAAGUCACCAGGCCUUUCGAGAGAUAGCUCUAUUUGUCGUGCAUUUGGCUUUUGUGGCGUCUUUACAUCAUCGUAUUGGACAAAGCUGAUGACUUCGUGGAGUAUGCGGGUUGUGAUUGGCGAACCCUGCUUAAUGGAUAGACUUAGCACCUGGCUGGCCUUGCGGCGCACGCUGGAGGUCUUAUCAUCAAGGCAACGGAUUGUCUCCGUUAAGAGCGCAACUUCUCGUGGCUCGGUGGACACAUCGUAACGAAAAACUUGCCACCCCACCUGCGUCUGAUGCUGCAAAAUACGUUCGAAAAGCUCGAGCGUACGUAUCUGUAUGCCCACCGCAUCUUCUGCUCUGAUGGUUUCCAGUAACAUCUCCGUGCAGGACUUGUUACAUUUGGCAUAGAGAGCUGCAUCAUAUUUGGCCGCAUAGCCAAUGGCAAUUUUCUCAUCUCCCAUUUUCCACUAGAAGCAAAUAAUAAAAUUACUAAAGUUUUUUA